CUUCCUCAAUUUAAAUUCUCUAUUGUGUUGUGCAAAGAAUUUGUUUAGUAGUAGUUUAAACAGAACCUUGUACUAUUAUAAUAUUAAAUUAUUAUAGUAUUAAAAAUACACAACCAUGAGUUUGUAGCUGCUCACUGUAUCACUACCUCGUUUUUUCAAAGGACUGACAGACUGACACUGAAAAUCUUGGAUGUUAAAUGUAAAGUCUUGAAGCUAAACCUUCAAUGACCACAGCAGGAAUCUGAAAAGUCAUGGAAAGACGGAAUGACAAAGACGGAAUUUUCUUUUUUCAAAUUUUUGUGGAAUCACUUCCACUGAAGGACAGCACGGGACUUCUCGGGCAUGCCAGUCACUGGGCUCAACAAUCCAGGUGCUACCAUGGCCAGAAGCCGUAUCUUCUUCUCCGGUGGAGGAUACCGGGCUGAAUGGAGAAGUGGAUGACGGUGUAACUCAGCUCUCUGUGCAGUGUGUCACCGACCCUACCGGACUGAAUGGAAGAGUAGUGUAUGAUGGCGAGGAAUACAGCCUCCGUCCUGUGCAGCAUGUCACCUACCCUACUGGAUUGGAGGAAGUCAUUGUUGAUGAAGAAGAUCACAACCUCCGUCCUUCAAGACCUCAAGCCUCGUCUUUGGCUCGUUCUGGGACUCACGGAGCAAGUGCACCAUGGCGGGAGGCACUCAAUCCUAGGCUCGUGGUGAAAUGGCUGCUGCAGUGGCUGCUAAAGGAACUCAUUAUAAAGCUGGUGUAUGUUUGCGUACCGUGGCUCCCGAGUUUGCUGCAAGAUGCAUUAGAUUACGUUGUGGAUUUUUUCUUGUCAAAGUUAUUCCAAUGGCUUUAGUCCAUGAUCCAGUAGUGUGAGAGGGUCAGCCUUCACUACCUUCGCUACCUCACCCCAAUUCUUUGGAUCAAUUCAACGGUUUGUUUUACUCCUAUAUUACGAGUGUUUUAUAUGUAUGGUUGUUUAUUUG